rnacentral:rRNA from 1 species
UACGGAGGAUGCGAGCGUUAUCCGGAUUUAUUGGGUUUAAAGGGUGCGCAGGCGGAUUUUUAAGUCAGCGGUCAAAUCGUGGGGCUCAACCCCAUCCAGCCGUGGAAACCGGGCAGCUAGAGAGCAUCAGAGGAUCGCGGAAUUCCAUGUGUAGCGGUGAAAUGCGUAGAUAUAUGGAGGAACACCAGUGGCGAAGGCGGCGAUCUGGGGUGCAACUGACGCUCAGUCCCGAAAGCGUGGGGAGCAAAUAGG